CGGUUGAUCCUGCCGGAGGCCGCCGCUAUCCGCCUGGGACUAAGCCAUGCGAGUCGGUGGUGGCGGGCCCUGGGCUUUGCCCGAGCCCGCUGCCAGGCGAACUGCUGAGUAACACGUGCCUAACCUACCCUGGGGAGGGGGAUAAUCCCGGGAAACUGGGGCUAAUCCCCCAUAGCCCUGGGGUACUGGAAUGUCCCCAGGGUGAAAGGCCCUUGGAGGGGAAACCCUCCUUGGGUGCCCCAGGAUGGGGGCGCGGCCCAUCAGGUUGUUGCCGGGGUAACGUCCCGGCAAGCCUAUAACGGGUAGAGGCCGUGAGAGCGGGAGCCCCCAGAUGCCCUCUGAGACAUGAGGGCAGGGCCUACGGGUCGCAGCAGGCGCGAAACCUUCGCAAUGCGCGCAAGCGCGACGAGGCCAGGCGGAGUGGUGCCGCUCUGCGGCACCUUUUCCCGAGGGUAAACACCUCGGGGAAUAAGGGGUGGGCAAGACGGGUGCCAGCCGCCACGGUAAUACCCGCGCCCCGAGUGGCGGCCGCGAUUAUUGGGCCUAAAGCGCCCGUAGCCGGGUGGGUAAGUCCCUCGUGAAAUCCGCGCGUAAACGCGCGGGCGUGCGGGGGAUACUGCCCACCUUGGGACCGGGAGAGGCCGGAGGUAUUCCCGGGGUAGGGGUAAAAU
rnacentral:rRNA from 1 species